UACGUAGGGGGCAAGCGUUGUCCGGAAUUAUUGGGCGUAAAGCGCGCGCAGGCGGUUUGGAAAGUCUGGUGUUUAAGGCUGAGGCUCAACCUCAGUUCGCACUGGAAACUGUCAGACUUGAGUACAGAAGAGGAAAGUGGAAUUCCACGUGUAGCGGUGAAAUGCGUAGAGAUGUGGAGGAACACCAGUGGCGAAGGCGACUUUCUGGGCUGUAACUGACGCUGAGGCGCGAAAGCGUGGGGAGCAAACAGG
rnacentral:rRNA from 1 species